UGGCCAGUGACGUGGGCAAAUUACUUGGUGUCUAAACUUCAAGCUCCUAAUCUGGAAAGUGGGGAUGACUCGUGAAGUCAACUGAAAUUAUCCACGUUAAGACUUCGCACCAUUUGGCACAUAACAAAUCAAAGAUUUGAUAAGGAAGCUGAUGUGUAAAACUGAUUGGGAGAAGCAAAUCUUAUUGGUUACACCCUAUGGCAGAGACGGGAUGUGGGCAACACCUCCACCGAUGGGUCUGGUGCAGUAAGAAUGCCUAUAUAGAGGAGAUUUGCCUAAACCAAUUCUAAAAAGUUGACAUAGGCGUUAUGUCCCAUUCCACAAACAGGGAUACGUCCAAAUACCAAUUACACCGGAAGAGCAUUACAGCACUGGGUUGUACCUGGACUGCUGCUACAGGAAAGAAGACAGAGCAGUGACCUCCUCGUGCCUGGAUUUGAAGGUCCAGAAGAAGCUAAACAAUCCCAUGAAGGGAGGUGGGGGAGCAAUGAUGUCCACAAGGAAAAAAAAAAGGGAAAAAAUAAUACAAAUACACUCCUGGGAAAUAAUGUGAUUUAAUCAAUCUUCAGAAAUAUGAAAUGUUUCACUUUUUGAA